rnacentral:rRNA from 1 species
AUUGAACGCUGGCGGCAGGCCUAACACAUGCAAGUCGAGCGGCAGCACUUCGGGUGGCGAGCGGCGAACGGGUGAGUAAUACAUGGGAAUCUGCCCAGUAGUGGGGGAUAACUUCGGGAAACUGGAGGUAAUACCGCAUACGUCCUACGGGAGAAAGCAGGGGAUCGCAAGACCUUGCGCUAUUGGAGGAGCCCAUGUCCGAUUAGCUCGUUGGUGAGGUAAAGGCUCACCAAGGCAACGAUCGGUAACUGGUCUGAGAGGAUGGUCAGUCACACUGGAACUGAGAAACGGUCCAGACUCCUACGGGAGGCAGCAGUGGGGAAUAUUGGACAAUGGGGGCAACCCUGAUCCAGCCAUGCCGCGUGUGUGAAGAAGGCCUUCGGGUUGUAAAGCACUUUAAGCAGGGAGGAAGGCUCGUACGUUAAUACCGUGCGGGAGUGACGUUACCUGCAGAAUAAGCACCGGCAAACUCCGUGCCAGCCGCCGCAGUAA